GGUGGUGGUGGUGGAGGUGGUGGAGGUGGA
rnacentral:piRNA from 1 species